GAUGAACGCUGGCGGCGUGCCUAAUACAUGCAAGUCGAGCGAACAGACGAGGAGCUUGCUCCUCUGACGUUAGCGGCGGACGGGUGAGUAACACGUGGAUAACCUACCUAUAAGACUGGGAUAACGUCGGGAAACCGGAGCUAAUACCGGAUAAUAUAUUGAACCGCAUGGUUCAAUAGUGAAAGACGGUUUUGCUGUCACUUAUAGAUGGAUCCGCGCCGCAUUAGCUAGUUGGUAAGGUAACGGCUUACCAAGGCGACGAUGCGUAGCCGACCUGAGAGGGUGAUCGGCCACACUGGAACUGAGACACGGUCCAGACUCCUACGGGAGGCAGCAGUAGGGAAUCUUCCGCAGUGGGCGAAAGCCUGACGGAGCAACGCCGCGUGAGUGAUGAAGGUCUUCGGAUCGUAAAACUCUGUUAUUAGGGAAGAACAAAUGUGUAAGUAACUAUGCACGUCUUGACGGUACCUACUCAGAAAGCCACGGCUAACUACGUG
rnacentral:rRNA from 1 species